rnacentral:rRNA from 1 species
CGAGGACUUCGGUCCUAGUGGCGAACGGUCGCGUAACACGUAAGCAACCUGCCCUGAAGUGGGGGACAACAUCCCGAAAGGGGUGCUAAUACCGCAUGUGGUCACGAGUCGGCAUCGACUUGUGUCUAAAGAUUUAUCGCUUCAGGAUGGGCUUGCGGCCUAUCAGGUAGUUGGUGGGGUAAUGGCCUACCAAGCCGACGACGGGUAGCUGGUCUGAGAGGACGAUCAGCCGGAUUGGGACUGAGAUACGGCCCAGACUCCUACGGGGGGCAGCAAUUAGGAAUCUUGCGCAAUGGGGGAAACCCUGACGCAGCGACGUCGCGUGAAGGAUGAAGGCCCUCGGGUCGUAAACUUCUUUUGAGUGGGAAGAAAUUUGACGGUACCACUCGAAUAAGCCCCGGCUAACUACGUGCCAGCAGCCGCGGUAAUACGUAGGGGGCGAGCGUUGUCCGAAGUUACUGGGCGUAAAGCGCGCGUAGGCGGUUAUUUAAGUCUGGGGUG